AUACGGAGGGGGCUAGCGUUGUGCGGAAUUACUGGGCGUAAAGCGCGCGUAGGCGGGCUGGUCAGUCAGGGGUGAAAUCCCGGGGCUCAACCCCGGAACUGCCUUUGAUACUGCCAGUCUAGAGGUCGAGAGAGGUGAGUGGAAUUCCGAGUGUAGAGGUGAAAUUCGUAGAUAUUCGGAGGAACACCAGUGGCGAAGGCGGCUCACUGGCUCGAUUCUGACGCUGAGGUGCGAAAGCGUGGGGAGCAAACAGGAUUAGAAACCCUAGUAGUCC
rnacentral:rRNA from 1 species